GGCUGAUUAGCUCAGUUGGUCAGAGUGUGGUGCUAAUAACACCAAGGUCAUGGGUUCGAUCUCCAUAUAGGCCG